rnacentral:lncRNA from 1 species
UUCUUUUUUGUAUAAUAUUUAUUGAAAUAAAUGGAUUUUAAUUUUAAUUUUGGUUUUGGUUUUGUUUAAAAUUUAUAGUUACAUUAUGUCCAACAUUGCAAAGCUCGAGUUUGCAACACUUGAAGUUAGUGGGAAAAACUAUGUGUCAUGGAUGAUAGAUGUAAAAAUGCAUCUUGAGUCCAUGGGAAUCUCAAAUGCUAUAUAUGAAUUUAAUAAUUUCUUGGCACAAGACAAAGCAAAAACACAAGUUUUCCUUCGUAAGCAUAUUGAUGAAAUAUUAAGAUUUGAAUAUCUUGAUGUUACUGGUCCAAGUAUUCUCUGGAAUCUUUUGAAAGAAAGAUUUGAUCAUCAAAAGGAAGUUAUACUUCCAAAUGCUAGAGAUGACUGGAGAACACUGAGGUUUCAAGACUUCAAGAAAGUGAAUGAAUACAACUCAGCUUUGUUCAGAAUAUGUUCACAACUUAAGUAUUGUGGACAAGAAGUUACUGAUGAAGAUAUGUUGGAGAAAACUUACUCCACAUUUCAUGCAACAAACAUUACCUUGAUGCAACAAUAUCAGAUGCAAAAGUUCACAAGAUAUUCUGAACUAAAUGCAUGCCUGCUUGUUGCAAAGCAAAACAACGAGUUCUUGAUGAAAAACCAUGAAUCUCGUCCCAACAGGAUCAGUAGCACUUCCUGAAGCAAAUGCUACAAAUAUUGAUGGUCAUCGAAACAAUACACGUGGACGAGGGCGUGGUCGUGGCCGAGGACGAGACCAUGGCUAUUUUAAUCGAAACCAAAGCCAUAAUUAGAACCAUAAUUUUGGUCGUGGACAAGGUAAUAAUCGUGGUCGUGGCCAGAAAAUGAAUAAUUACCAAUCUUCACAAAGAAACAAUGUACAUACACAAGAUAAGGCCAAAGUGGCAAGGCAUGAUACUGUUACAUCACAAAAAUCUGAUGGUUCAUGUUAUAGAUGUGGUAGCACAGGCCAUUGGUCAAGGACCUGUCGCACACCUGCACAUCUUUGUCAACUUUAUCAAGAGUCCAUUAAAGGAAAAGGAAAAGAAUCAAACCUCGUUGAUAAUGUUGAAUUCACUCCGCUAACUUUUGAUGAUUUCUGCAAUGACAUGGAAGACAUAAACUAAAAAUUUCUAUUGUUGCUCUAAUAAACUUGUUUUCCUUUAUUUGUUUCUCAUGUAAUGUAUUUCCUACAAUAAAUGAACUUUCUUUAUAAUAAUUAUUAUGAUUAUGUUUAUUCGCUUAUAGCAGAUAGUGGUAGUACGCAUACUAUUCUGAAAUAAAAGAAAUAUUUUUCAAAAUUAGUACCAACAAAAACAGUCAUACAUACAAUACCAGGUCCUAUAGACUUAAUAGAGGGAACUAGGAAAACCCAUUUUAUAUUACCAAAUGGUAUAAGCUUUUGUAUAGAAAAUGCCUUAUUUUCUCCAAAGUCUAAUAUAAACUUACUAAGUUUCAAUGACAUAUAUUUCAAAGGAUAUGAUACAAAAACGGUGACCAUUGAAAAUAAGAAAUAUAUGUAUAUCAUAGACAAAAACCAUGUGCCUGAAAAACUACCAACACUUGAUUCUGGUAUGCAUUAUACAUAUAUACAUAUGAUUGAAUCAAAUAUGGUAAUCAAAGGAAAACAUUGUGAUCCUGGUACAUUCAGUUUAUGGCAUGAUAGGUUGGGCCACCCAGGAUUAACAAUGAUGUGAAGCAUAAUUGAAAAUAUGAAUGGGCAUCCAUUGAAGGACCAAAAGUUCCCUCAAUCCAACAGCAUAAAACCAUGUGCAUCUUGUUCCCUUGGAAAGUAAAUUAUAAAACAUUCUCCAAUGAAAGUUGAAAGGGAGUCACCUAGAUUUCUAGAGAGAAUUCAAGGUGAUAUAUGUGGACCGAUUCACCCAUCAUCUGGACCAUUUAGAUACAUUAUGGUCUUAAUAGAUGCAUCCAACAAAUGGUCUCAUGUUUGCCUAUUAUCAACUCGUAAUAUGGCAUUUGCAAAAUUUCUUGCCCAAAUUAUUAAAUUAAGGGCACAUUUCCCUGAUUAUACUAUCAAAAAAGUGAGACUUGAUAAUGCUGGUGAAUUUACUUCACAAGCAUUUAAUGACUAUUGUAUGUCUAUAGGAAUUGUUGUUGAGCAUCCAGUUGCUCAUGUACAUACACAAAAUGGUUUAGCUGAAUCACUAAUUAAACGUCUCCAGCUAAUAGUUAGACCAUUGAUAAUGAGGACCAAACUUCCUGUAUCUGUUUAGGGCCAUGCAAUCUUACAUGCUGGAUCAUUGAUACGCAUGAGACCGAAUUCAUAUCAUGUAUAUUCUCCACUACAACUUGCUUUUGGUCAAGAGCCAAAUAUAUCCCAUUUGAAAUUUUUUGGGUAUGCAGUAUAUGUCCUUAUUGCACCACCUCAACGGACAAAAAUGGGUCCUCAAAGAAGGUUAGGAAUAUGUUUUGGUUAUAAGUCAGUAUCUAUUAUAGGAUAUCUUGAACCGUUAACAAGUGAUGUUUUUACAGCAUGCCUAGCAGAUUGCCAAUUUGAUGAGGCAAAUUUCCCAUCAUUAGAGGGAGAAAAGAAGAUUCUGGAAAAAGAUGUGUCAUGACAUGAACCUUCUUUAUCAUAUCUUGACCCUCGCACAAAGCAAUGUGACAUGGAAGUUCAAAAGAUAAUGCAUUUUCAAGAAAUGGAAAAUCAAUUGCCUGAUGCAUUUACUGACACAAAAAGGGUGACUAAAUCAUAUAUACCAGCUGUCAAUGUUCCAGCUCGAAUUGAAAUUCCACAUGGACAAUCUAAUGAUAAAGUCACUCAAGAGUCUAAAACACGCCUGAAGCAUGGAAGGACAUUUGGUUCUAAGGAUAAGAACCCACGAAAAAGAAGAGGAUCAAAAAUUGCACUGGAUCAUGAGGAAAGUGUUCCUGGAGAGACACGGAUUAUUCAAAUUCCCCCAGGAAAGGAGGAUGAUGCACAAAAUUGUGGUUAAGCAAAUAGAAUACGUGGCCAAAAUGAAACUGACAAUAUAAGUACAAUAUUUUCUUAUUCAGUUACAUGUGAUAUUAUGAAUGAUGAUCCCGAACCAUAAUUUGUCAUUGAAUGUCAAAGAAGAAAUGAUUGGGCUAAAUGGAAAGAAGCUAUGCAAGUUGAGUUAAAUUCUCUUAACAAGAGAAAGGUUUUUGGGACCAUUAUCCUCACACCAGGAGUUGUGAAACCAUUAGGGUAUAGAUGGAUCUUCGUACAAAAAAGAAAUGAGAAAGACGAAAUUGUAAGAUACAAGGCUAGACUUGUUGCUCAAGGUUUCUCUCAAGGACCUGGAAUUGAUUAUGAGGAAACUUAUUCACCGGUAAUGGAUGUGACCACUUUUAGAUAUUUAACUAUAUUGGUAGUCUUAAAAAAUUUAGAUAUGCGUCUUAUGGAUGUAGUUACAACUUACUUGUAUGGAUCACUUGAUAGUGAUAUCUAUAUGAAAAUCCCUGAAGGAUUUAAAAUGCCCGAAGCAUUAAGUGCAAAACACAAAGAAAUGUAUUCUAUAAAAUUACAAAGAUCUUUGUAUGGGUUGAAGUAACCUGGGCAUGUGGUACAAUCGUUUGAGCGAUUAUUUGACAAGUAAAGGUUAUAAAAAUAACACUAUUUGUCCAUGUGUAUUUAUUAAGAAAACAACAUCUGGCUAUGUGAUCAUAGCAGUCUAUAUUGAUGAUCUAAACAUCAUUGGAACGGAUAAAGAAAUCCUUGAAGUGGUUGAACUUUUAAAGAAAGAGUUUGAAAUGAAAGAUCUUGGAAAAACCAAAUAUUGUCUUGGUUUACAGAUUGAGCAUAUGCCUAACGGAAUACUUGUACAUCAAUCAAAUUACACAGAAAGAGUCUUGAGAUGUUUCAAUAUGGACAAUGCUAAUCCUUUAAGCACUCCAAUGGUUGUUAGAUUAUUAAAUAUUGACAAGGAUCCAUUUCUUCCAUACGGAGAAAAUGAAGAAGCCCUUGGUCCAGAAGUACCAUACCUUAAUGCAAUUAGAGCUCUUAUGUAUCUUACCAAUUGUACUAGACCUAACAUUUCUUUUGUUGUAAACUUGCUAGCAAGAUUUAGUUCGGCCCCAACAAAAAGACAUUGGAAUGGAAUCAAACAUAUUUUUCGAUACCUUCGAGGAACUAGUGAUUUAGGAUUAUUUUAUCCUAACAAUUCAAAACAAGGCUUGAUUGAUUAUGCAGAUGCAAGUUAUUUGUCUGAUCCUCAUAAAGCUAGAUCUCAAACUUGACACUUAUUCAUGAAUGGAGGUACUGCAAUUUCCUGGCGUUCUCAAAAGUAAACACAUGUUGCCACAUCCUCAAAUCAUGCAGAAGUAAUUGCACUAAAUGAAGCUAGUAGAGAAUGUACAUGGUUAAGAUCGAUGACACAACUAGUUUUAACUUCAUGUGGACUUGAAAAAGAUAUAGGUCAAAAUUUAAUAUAUGAAGAUAACUCAACAUGUGUCACUCAAAUGAAAGAAGGAUAUAUCAAGAGCGACAGGACAAAACAUAUACCUCCAAAGUUUUUUGAGUACACUCAAGAGCUUAUAAAGAAUCAUCAAGUUGAAAUCAAAUAUGUUCAAUCCAGCAACAAUGUAACAGACCUUUUUACGAAGGCACUUCCUACUGCAAUCUUCAGGAAACAUGUACAUGGCAUUGGAAUGCGACAUGUGCAUAGAAUAUAAUGUAACAGAUGUCUAAAUAAGGGGGAGUCAACUAUACAUUGCAUUCUUUUUCCCUUCAGUAAAGUUUUUUCCCAUUGGGUUUUUUUUAGCAAGGUUUUUAAUGAGGCAGUACUUCAAAACUGAACUCUAAAUCAGAAAUGGUGUCAUCUAAGGGGGAGUGUUGUAAAUUAUUGUGAAUGACACCAAUAAUUGGUGAAUUGAUGAAAGCUAUCAUAUCAUACUAUUUACAUGACAUAUGAUAGAUAAUUUUUAUAGUAUAAAUAACAUGCUCUUGUAAAGAUAUGACGAUACAAUUUCACAAGAUAUAAAAUAUCUCAUAUCUUUUCUAGAUCUUCUUCUCCAUCAAAUUUCUUUAUCUAUGUUGUUAGUUUAGUUUGUUNNNNNNNAUAUAUAUAUAUAUAUAUAUAUAUAUAUAUAUUACUUUUAACCUCUACAAAAUCUAUAAAUAUACACACUUUAACCUUCAAACUCACACCUCCUAUCAUUUUAUCUCUACUUUCUUCAAAAAAAAUGAAUCCCGACAACCAAACCUCAAACUCCGAUAGAAGGGAAAAAAAACCAAUGUUUCGAGUUCAAACACUUCAACUCAAAACAUUUUCGCUAUCGAUGCAUCUCAAGGGGUUUAUCAUCCACAACUCGAUGCUCCUAUUGAAUCUCCACUACAAUUCCAAUACCAAAAUAUUAUGCAAUUUUACCGGAUGCAAGUUCCAAAUGUUACUUCAAAUAUGCUAUCAAACUUUGUUGUUUUUCCCGAUCAACUUUCGCCAAAUCAACCCCAAACUCAAAUCUCACUCUUUCAAUCUCAAACCCAAACCCAAACACAACCUUCUCAAUCUCAACAACAAUACUAAAUCUUCGAUGAGUCGGAUGAGGAUAUGAUACAGGAAACUCAACCCACACCACACCCCAACGCCGCAAAGGAAAACAAGUGAAGGAGGGUAUCGCACAACCGGGAAGACAGAAGCUUCAACCAUGGACUCCACAAGAAGAGAUUUUUGGUAAAAGCUUGGGUUGACAUUUCAGAGGAUUCGGCGACGGAAAAUGUACAACCGGGGGAUCAUUUUUGGUUUCGCAUUUUUGAGAGGUUUCGUAAGGAGAUGAGAAAAUGUUACGAGUAUUAUACCAAUCAUCACUUGAAUUCAAAGUUUUAAAAAAUAAUGAAGUCUGUUUAAAAAAUGAAUGGGUUUUACAACCUAAAAACCCAACGGAAAAGCGGCCAAGAAGAUGAAGAAAUACUUCAGGAAGCUUUGCAUUUUUUUUCGAGAGGAAAUGGGAAAGUCAUUCAAGUGGCACGAUUGUUGAAAAAUCCUAGGCAAAAAAAAUAUGAGCAAUAGUAAUACUUGGAGUACAACAAUCAAUGCGAACAAAAAUGGACUCUAGUGGUUACACAACUUCCUCCGAUGUUCGAGUCGAUCUAGAUUUUAUUGACGAGGACGAACUCCAACUAGAAGAAAUUGUCCGACCGAUGGGUAGGGAUAAAGCAAAAAGGAAGGGAAAUGGGACUUCUUUGGGUACAUUGGAUUUCAGCAUAGACGCAGACCAAAUACAAAAAAUGACAAAGACAUUUAAUGUAUAUAAUCUUAAUUUCAUUGUACGUUUGGCGUUCGACAAAGAAACAAAAAGAAGCAAAAAAUGAGCGUGCGGAGAGAGAAGAAAUGAAAGAUAUAAGGUUGUUGAUGGAAAACAUUGACCAUUUUUCGGGACCAACUUUGAAGCUCAUUUUAAAGAAAAAUAAGCGGAUUAUACAAAAAUAUUUUCCCUAGAUUGUUGUUUGUUUUUUUUUCUAGUUAUUUAAAUCUUAGGUUUUUAUGUAAUUUUUAUUUUAAUUAAUGUAGUUUUUUUAAUUAAUUUUAUAUUUAUUACUCAUUUAAAAAAAAUAUAAAUCAUAAAAAUCAAUUAUUUUUAUUUAAAAAUAAAAAAUAAAGGAACCUUUCCCCACACACUUAUAAUAAGGAAAAGAAAAAUGAAAGAAAAGAUGACGUGAGAGACAAAAUAUGACGAAAGCUUUCUGCAUCCACACUCCGACCUAAGGCAAAGAUUAACUUGAGAGUUGAGACGAACCGUAUAACAGAACCAAUAGAACCAAGUAGAAGUGGAGUUUAUCAUCUCAAGUUCACAUGUCAACGGAAGAACAAAUAUUACAAUUUCGGAAAGAAAAUGUUUUUAAGUUGUAUAAAAUAACUGUAUCGAUCAUUUGAUCCUUCACAUUUGUGUCGACCAACACGAGAGGACUCUAGAUUAUUUUUUAAUUAUAGGACAAUUAAAAGGUAAAUAAGUUUGAAAACGUAAUUGGUAAAUAAUUUUCGUAAAAACAAGCUUUUUUUUUAAAAAAAAAAAAAAAAAAACUCCAGACAAAUAUACAAGGAAUAUUAUUUCUUUCUAUGUAAUGACUUUCCAAAAGGUAAUUAAGUAGUAGCUCAUGCAAAAUAUAAUAAUAUAAAAUGCAUAAAUAUGUGCAAGAAAAUUCGAUCAAUCUAUCUAAAUUCAUUAAAUACAAUGAAACAAAAAUACGAAUCAACUCCCAUCUUCCCAUUGACUAAAAUACUUCCAUCAUCUUGUAACUUUGAAAGCCUGCAUUGCAUUGAACCACAAAAAAUAUUAAAAUUAAAAUAAUAAUUAUUUUUAUAAUUAAAACAAAUUAAGAUACUCUAUGCAUUAUUAAUUUUAGCAUGAAUAAUUUAGAAAAACAGAACAAAACAUACCUUAACCCUCUUCAACAGAGCCUUGGCCUUCUCAUCAUUCUUGAAAUGGUCACGCACAGGCUACAACACACACACACACACAACUCAUGUCAAAGUCUAAAAAUCUUGAAAUCAAAAUAGUUGUCAUUGCAAAAGACGUAAAUGCCCUCCUGAUUAAGUAAUAUAUAUAAAUAUACCUGUAAGAUCCUAUUCAAAGAUUUGGAUAGUGCAGGUUUCAAAUCCGCAGGAUGCAACUCCCCUUUUUCAUAAGCAGCAAUUAAUUCUUCAUAACUGGUAUAAACCCUGAUUUUGUUCAAGAAAAAUAUCAUCAAUAUAAAUAAUUUAUAAACAAAUUUAAAAGAAAAAAAAAAAAAAAAANNNNNNNNNNNNNNNNNNNNNNNNNNNNNNNNNNNNNNNNNNNNNNNNNNNNNNNNNNNNNNNNNNNNNNNNNNNNNNNNNNNNNNNNNNNNNNNNNNNNNNNNNNNNNNNNNNNNNNNNNNNNNNNNNNNNNNNNNNNNNNNNNNNNNNNNNNNNNNNNNNNNNNNNNNNNNNNNNNNNNNNNNNNNNNNNNNNNNNNNNNNNAUAUAUAUAAAUUGGGGAAAUUUUACCUCUUCAUCCUCCAUAAAAAUAGCAGAAGAAGAAUCAGAUUUUGACAUCUUUUCUUGUCCUUGUAACAAACCAGGAAGCAUAUCUUCACAGUAAAAGCAACAAACAACAAUCAUGUUAACUAAAGACGCAAACUACCACAAAAAAAAAACACCAUUAUAUUUUGACAUGUCAAAUUUACAACUUUGCCCUUACGAUGAGAUAAAAUGAUUGGCUUGUUUUUUCUUUUGAUGUCAUCACAAUACUCCCUAGCAAGAACAUUCACUUUUCGUUGAUCCAUGCCUAGUUGACAGAUAUCAGCCUAUUCAAUUGAACAGAUAUUUUUUAAUACCUAAAUAAAAUCAUAAACUAUAAAAUGACUAUUUUACCCUUUGUAAAAAGAUUAAUUAAACAAGAACCUUGAGGAAAAAUAUAUCAGCACAUUGCAUGCAUGGGUAGAAGAUUUGGGCUGCAGUCAAUUCAUCCUGCUCACUUCGGCCCAUAAUCUGACAACACCUACAACCAUUGAGAUAAUAAAACUAGGAUAUAUAUAAUUAUAUAAAUUAACAAAUUUAAAAUUAUUCUACCUCAUUAUUCUAGGAAGUUUGUUUCUUCUAGCAAUAUCCAUGACUAUUGGCCAGUAUUCAUAUGCCCUUGAAUUAAUUUCUUCGGAAGACCAAAUAAAUUCUACUUUACCAUCUUCCAAAUUCAUGCCUGCAGCUUUCCAUAUCUCAAUCAAGUAGUGUCCAACUGUUUGAAUUUUGUUUAAAUCUCCACCCAUUUUGUUGUUUAAUUGAGCAAACCAGUCUGCUAUCCAAAUCUUUACUUUGCAACCAGCAGAAGUGAGUUUGUUAACAUUAAUUGUCUUCAUAACACCCUGUUUCGCAAGAAACAUAGAACAUGAGUUUAUUGAGAAGUUUAAACAAACCUUCUUUAUAUUGUUUUUUGUAAUCUCAAUACUUAUGUAUCCAAAAGGAUAAACAAAUCCAGUGAAGUUUCUGAUUACAUACCUGAGCAAUAUGCAUUCUGCCAGAGGGUUCAAACCCAUCGUAGCAGAUGGGUUGGGGCUUUUUGGUAAGAAGAUUCAAGAGUUCUUCCUCCUGGAUGCAUUCUUCACCAAUGCUCCUCACAAUCCUAUAUUUUUCUUCAACGCUCAUCCUAUAUAUAGAACACAAAACUCAUUCAACUGGAUGACAUUUGUCCUUAAAUACGUAAACACAUGAUUGGCAAUAAAUAGAUCCUCAUAAACUACAAUUAUUUGAAAACAAUGCUUUACAUUCUCUUCGAUUUUGCUAAUCAUAUGACCUUUAACAAUGCAUAGCGUUUUAAUGGUAAAUAAGUUUGUAUCAAGUACUAAAACACCUAAGGCACUAAUCAUUACGCUGAUGUUAAUCAUAACAACGAUCAGUUCUCUUGGGGUGCAUGGAGAAGAAUCCAGUACAAGUUAUUGUUCAUUGCACCGAAACUCCAAAGUGUAGAAAACAAUUCACAGUGUCAGGUCGAAUUUAGUCAUAAUCCAUGAAAACUGACUUUUAACACACUUAAGUCCAAUAUAUAACAAAAAUCACCUUCAGUGUGUAAAUUAGAGAUGAGACUUACUCUGUGGUAGAAUUCGACGGAUUCAAACCAUCCCUCGCAGUCAGCGAUAAAGAUUCAACUUCUUUCGCUGGAGGAUUCUCCAUUGACAUGUCUCUAUUUCUCUCUCUCUCAGUCGCAGGUCGGAGUAGACACCAAAAUCUAGGGUUCACUGCGGAAGUAGCAACUGUUUUUAUAAACAAACAAUCAAACAACUGGUUAUUCUAUUGGGUUGACAAAUGGCCCAGUUUUUUAUUUGGGCAUUCGGCCCAUUUAUUAAAAAUUAAGAUCUCUUUUCUAUUACAUACGCCGGCCCAUUUUCCCUCCGAACACUCCCGCUACCUGCAACCCUCUGCCUUGUCAGGCGGCGCCAUCGGUGCCAUCUAGUUCCAUCAAUCUCGUCACAACAGCCUUCGGGUAUUUUUUUUGAUGGUUUUCUAUGCACAUAAGGAGAGGGUAGAUAAGUUAAGGUGGCUGAAGUGAGAUUAUACUAUAUAUUAAAAUUCUUGCAUUUUAGCUACAGUGUUCUGCCUCCUUUUUUGGCAUAUAUGGUCCUUCUAUUUUUAUGUUCUUUACUAGGUGUAAGACCCGUAUACUAUACGGAUUUAUUAAAAAUACAAAUUUAAUAUCAAUAUUUAAACAUUAAAUUUAAUAUAAAUAUCAAUUUUAGAGCUCUCAUUAAUUAUGACAUUUAUUUCAUUAUAAAUAUAUCAAUUGUUUUUCAAGGAAACAUUUAUUUCUUUCAAUAUUAUAACCGAAAUAAGUUAUGAUAUGUGAACAAAUCAGAAAAUUACACGUGGAAAUAAAUAAAUUCUAAAAAUCUAUUAAAAUGUCAUGUGUCCAAAUCAAUGAGGACAUGACAUGUGGCAGAAAAUGAGUUUUAUUUAUUAGUAUAGAUUUCUUUCGUUAUUUCUAAAUUAUUGUUUAUCCCCCUGUACUUCUGUUUAUUUAUCGUUCCUGUAAUUUAUCUGUUAAGCCUUUUGUCAACGUAGAAUGCUGACUUGCGUUUAAAUUUGCUACGUGUGUUCUUUCCUGUCGUUUGUUGUCCACGUGUUCUUCUUCUCUCUUUCUUUUGGGUUCGAUGUUCACCAUUGUUUCUUUUUGUUCUCGUUCUUUCUUUCGAUAGGUAACUUCUCUCUCUUCUUUUUCUAUUUCACGUUUCUGUUUUUGUGUUCUUCUUUAACCAUUGUUGUCCCUGUUUUGUUCGUUUGUAUUCAACGUCAUUGCCCACCGCUUCUCGCCGUCCCUUUCACCGACUCUGCUUUCCUUUUCGUUCCUUUCCCUUCAUUACUUCCUCACCCUUAUGAACACCCAAUCUGCUGCUUCUACACGAUGUCUACUCAGUUAUGCCUCUUCACCGAUCUUUCAACAGUUGCCGUCGAUUGUAUUUGAAGCUUUCCUGAUGACGGACUACUUCCACUUUCCCCUUCUUGCGACAGUCCGCUGGAGAAGAAAAUGAUGAGUUUUGCAAGAAAGGCGGCAGACCAACUAAUUUUUACCCUAUGGCGACCGUCCCCGUCUCCAUCUCCAGCGUUCGGAGGAACAGUCGUUGGCUAUGGAAGGUCUAUUUUUUUCCCUUACCUUCUCAAUUUUCUCUAAAGCCAACAUGAUUCUUCCAAUUUGGGCUUAAUUAGUAUCCAAUUUUUUUCCCUUUGCGGGAUGGUUUUUUCGUUUUUUGCAAAUGAUUUUCUAUUUUUGUGUUAUGCGCUGUAGAUACCAGUCCGAGGCAAUUGAGGUCACCGAAUUAUGGCUGGAGAUAGCAGGAACAUAGUUAUUUUUCUUCUACAUCGGGUUUUCUGCAACAUCUUCUUUUAUUGUCCAUGGAUAUUUUGUCCAAUUUUAUGUUGCUAACAGUUUAUUUUUGAAUAAAAAUAAUCCUUGCCCCGUAUCUAAAGGAAAUUUUGCAUUCGGUAUUUGUUGAUGCACUUCAUUAAAUAUGUUCUCUUCCUGUAAUUGGCAUACCAGAAGCUUGUCUGUAAAUAUCGACCUUCAUUGGUCUUUCUUUUUUGCUAUUCCUUUGUUCUUAUACGCAUAACCAUCUCAUAAUAAAUGCAUUUGUUUCUAUUUUAGAAUAUGUCUCACAUUGAUUGGAGUUUGCUUUUUAACAUCCCAUUAAUUUGUCUUUCACUCUUUCUGUGUAUGAAAUGGCAGUGGAUACUGAUUUUGUCUCUACCAUCUGUUUUUCAAUAGUGGAAGCUAAGGUUUGAUGUCAACCAUUUGAUCCACUCUAUUCCUGCUCGACCACCACCACUGUAACUUCUAGCUCUCGGUUGUCACCUGAAAGAUCGGUGGUGGCUGGUGGGUGUGUUUAACUAGCUAACCAGAGAUAUCUGAGCUCCGGUCACCGGACAUGUCGACAUGGCAAGAGACCCAUGUAAGUGCUUUUAUACUGAUGAUAUCGAGUUUCUUUAAUUAUUUUCUAUUAUAUGGUUAAAUCAUUUCAUCUUAUUUCAGGAAUUUCGUAGUCUAUAGUGGUGACAUAGGGCAUUAAAUUUUAUUAGUUCUUUUUCGCUAAAAUACCUUCAUUAUAUUGGAUUUUGACUUGAUCUUAUGAACCGGUCCAUUGUAGUUAAGCUUAUAUGUGAUGACAAGAGUUGGAACUGAAAAGGAUAUCAAUUUGUACAUUUUGUUUCUGAGGAGUCUGGCACCAAAGAUUGACCAGAAAUGGAUGCUCAGGUAAAAAACAUUAAAAUAAUGUCCCACUAAAAUCAGGUUGACCAUUGCAAAGACAAGAUGAGAAAUCAUCAUGAAAAUUCGCGUGUAUUUUUUUGGUUUUUUUUCAUUAAUGUAUUUUAAUUUAAAAAAUGUGCAUCAUGAAGUUGUUGAAUGAAUCUUAGGGUAUUUAGAGUUCACAUAGAGUUGUUGAAAAUAGAAAGUCGUAAUUCUGAUAGCAGUAGUAAACCCUUUAUGCAAAAGGGCAGUUUUGGUAAUUUGUUUGAUUGUUGUCGCACAAAAACUUGGUAUUAUGAAUUUCGUAGUUUUUAGAAUCAUUAAUUAUUAGAAAUUGCAUCAUGUUAUCAGUGUCUUUGGCCAUGUAUAC